rnacentral:rRNA from 1 species
CCUACGGGAGGCAGCAGUGAGGAAUAUUGGUCAAUGGACGAGAGUCUGAACCAGCCAAGUAGCGUGAAGGAUGACUGCCCUAUGGGUUGUAAACUUCUUUUAUAUGGGAAUAAAAUGUUCCACGUGUGGGAUUUUGUAUGUACCAUAUGAAUAAGGAUCGGCUAACUCCGUGCCAGCAGCCGCGGUAAUACGGAGGAUCCGAGCGUUAUCCGGAUUUAUUGGGUUUAAAGGGAGCGUAGGUGGAUUGUUAAGUCAGUUGUGAAAGUUUGCGGCUCAACCGUAAAAUUGCAGUUGAAACUGGCAGUCUUGAGUACAGUAGAGGUGUGCGGAAUUCGUGGUGUAGCGGUGAAAUGCUUAGAUAUCGCGAAGAACUCCGAUUGCGAAGGCAGUUCACUGGACUGCAACUGACACUGAGGCUCGAAAGUGUGGGUAUCAAACAGGAUUAGAUACCCCUGUAGUC